AUUUGAUGUGAUAGGGAAUCUGAAAAAUUUUGCAAAAUUUUUUAGGAAGUAAACACCAAAACUAAAAAAUUUUGGUGUUAGAAUUUUGGUGGGCUGCUCAAGGUUUUGGGUUUUUGGAUUUUUUGCAAAAUACUUGAGGAACUAAACGGCCGUAAUGUAAGGGCAUUGGCCAUCGAAUCGAGAAGGGAUUUGUAGGAAGGAAUUUAGUUGGCCUUUGUGCUACAUUUGCUGUUGUUAAUACAACAUCAGGAUUGUACCUUUGGAUGGAAAUGCACGAUGGUCACUCCCCGCCGACAUCACUCAGUGUAAAUUGUUGACCAACUUAUAUUAUCAUCAUUUCUCAGAAAAUGGUCAAGAGCUAUGGUGUCGACUACGAGAUAUUGAGAUGGACGCCAAGCUAUAAUCUCUUCUAUUUGAUGGCGACGGGUGGCUCUUUUUGUUUUCUCUCCCCAUAACUAAUCGCACCAUGUUUUUUUUUUCUUGUAGAAGUUCUAUGGAUCAAACUUAACCCCUGUACAUUGGAUUGCAUCAGGAUAGAAUUCAGCGUUUAUAGGAUUUGCUCGGGAAAUUUUGGUAAAAACAGGCCUCCUUGUUUUUUGUUUUUUUAGCAGAACAGGCCUCCUUGGUGAUGUCCAUAGACAGCCUGUGGCUCUUCUUCACGCCAUCCUCGAGGAGGCGUCGCUUUGGUGGCAGCUGGUUAUAGGCCGUUGCGGGAGGUUCUCGCCCUAUGACCCCGCUGUCUCCCCAACUGGUGCAAGCUUGCUGUUUUGUAAUAUGUAAUCUUUGCUUCUGCUUUGGCUAUGGUCCGUUGAAGCUCGGAGGUAAUCUAUGGAUUACUGGCUAAGUAUAUUGUAAGACUCUAUUUCUCUGCUUAAUGAAAUACAUGACACGCAUAUUAAAAAAAACACUCCGGUGGAUAAGCUCAGCCCACACUCCGUUAUUCGCAAUCUGACCUCCUCGCCGAGAUAAGCCCACAGCUCACAUACUCCGUUUUUUUUUUUUUCCUUUGACAACACAGCCCACGCUCCGUUAUUCGCAUCGCCUCGUCGUCGGCGUCACGAGCCACCUGACCCACCUCCUCGUCGGCGUCGACAUCGUAGACCACCGUCCCAUCCCCUCCGGCCCUCCCCUAUGGGUUCCAACGCCCAGGUACGGCGGAGAACAGCCGAACAGGCGCGAUCCGACGCGAACCAAUGCGACCACCUGCUGCUACGCCUCCCGCGCUCUCCACGGGCAACCGGAGUGGGCUCCGUUCGCCUCGACCGCUCGACUCGUCGUCGCCCAGCCGCGAUUCUCUUUCUUCUCAACGAGCACCUAUCAACCUCCAGAUGGCCUAGUUGUAGUUGAAGCUGUACGAUCUUUGUGAAUGAUAUCUAUGGUCAGUUUUUCAUGCAUAUAUUCUCCAAAGAUCAGGGUAUGUUUAAAGCUCCAAGAGUUAGCCUCCCCUGCAUGGCACCUUGCCUGGGCUUGGCCAAAGGUUCACAAUGUGUCAUUUCAUGUUCAACGAUGCUUCUCUGAGUGGUGAGCACAUAGAUGGAGAAAGAUUCUUUGGAUCAGCAUCACAAUGCAGCAGUACGAAACCUGGGGAGGUAGAGUCAGGUCAUUAGCAAUCUUGUUUCUUCUCUUUCUUUGCUUUUCCUUGACGGCAAUUGAAGUAUCGAGCACUUCACUCUUCAGCUUUGAUUGAAAACUAUUAUGUGGACUUGUUCCAUAAGACCCUAGUUCAUGUUCUUAACUACAAUAGCCCCCAUACAUGCAUGACUUCUCUGUUCAUUUUCAGUUUUAAAUUUCUAUUUUUAUGUUCUAACGUGUUUUUCCAUUUACAUACCUGUGGCAUUUUCAUAUAUUCGUAUGUUGCUACUUUGUCCCUCGUCCGCAGAGUACAGAUGUAUACAUGUAGAGGAUUAUUCGGACCAAAUAGGAACCAAAGAUGCAUCUCCUGGCAUGAGUCGACGCAUCAAUGUCUUAAUAUCAUCAGAUGGACUUAUUCCAGAUUCCUCACAGCAUUUAAAAUGCCUAUGCAAGAAGAAAUUACACUUUCGAUGGCGCGAAUGGGCAUUUAGAACUUCUGAGAAUAGUCAUAUCAAUGCCAUGGAGCUUGCAUUCAAGUUGUUCCAGCCAGAACACAUUCUGCCUCGCCCCUCUACAUAAGCGUUAAUAUCUGCAACUGCUAAAAACAAUUCAUGCAGAUGUGUUUUUUCGUCCAGCAGGGAAUAAAAGGUGAGGGCCACUGCCUGCUAGAUCAUAUACCUUAUACUCUACUUUAUACUCUAAACAAUAUCCUCUACCUUAUACUCCACUUUGUCAUCGGUUUCAUAAUAAGUACACCGUACUGUCCCAGGCUUCUUUCACCUUUUUCUGAACAGCAUAUAAAUAUAUACUGGAGUACUGGACUGUAAGCAACAAAUGUAUGAAAAUCAAUUACAUGCAUAUGCAUCAGGGUUCUCAUUUUGUUCCAGCACUCAUAACUGCACAGAGUGCAAUCUGGUUUAGAUAACUACUACAUAGUUUGCACGUGUACUCUGGCAGAGUUGCUUGAAGACAUGCAAGUUUGUUGUGAGAACACAAAACCCUUUUGAAGGGAAUAUACUCGACGUCUAACAGUCUCUUGGAAUAAGGUACUGUCUUGCAGAUCAGAUGGGCAUCUCCGCCAGGACGUUGCAAGCAGAAAGGUAGAAGAUCACCUUUGAAUUUUGAAAGUUCUGACAUCCCAAGGGGGCGAAAGGCACCAGGGAAUUUCCCCGCACUGCAAACAGCCUACACCCAUACCCAGCUUCUGUGGAUGAACUCUUGCCAUGCCAACCGUUGGUCCUCCCUCGGCUCUCUCUAGAUUGUUCACCAGCCAGCUGGAAAUGCUGCUAAAGUUAGUACAUCAUUUCUAGGUAAGAGCUGAAUUUAUUCUACCGGUGGGCAAUCUUAUCAUUCUGAAAAUCUGCAUCGAAAAGAUGCUAUGUAAAGCUUAUAGCACACUUUUGAUUCGUGUUUCAGCUGCUAAUAGCUAAUGCUCCUGGGGCCCUAUGCUUGUUUGCUGUCUGCAAAUGUAUUUGUCACAAGUUUACAAGAUUGAAUUUUGGCAUUGAAUUGGAUGAUUCACAUCACCAAUUCCUCGUGUCAAUUCUUCAAGGCUGAACAAUGCAUGAUGGUUCUAGCUUAGAGGUAAGACCUUUGCAAUAUAUACGUGUGGACUGGUUGAUCCAGAUUGGUUACACUUCAUUUCAGGGUUUGUUUAGACUGGUGGCCCCUGGCAAACGUGAGACAUGAACCUCAAGUGAAGACGAAGUGGUAAGAUUCUGGGACUUCUUCUUGCAGCGAAGUGAAUGAAGACGAGGUGAACGUCUGCAGUCCACACCAAAAUGAACUUGGACAACGUGUGCGGAAAAGGACGAGAGCUCGCUUGCACUCCAUCGGUACUAUGUGUUCCGUACUCCAUACAGGCUAGUGGACAAGAACGAGGCCAAAGGAAACGCCAAGCAGCAAUGGCUAGUGUCUGAUAAAAUGUCGAUUUGAUAGAGAGAAUAAUCAAUCUAAAAACGUUGAUGUGAUGUGAUGCCAAAGUAGAAAAGGCUAUAGUUGCCCAAUUUCCAUUCGGGGCUAUUUGGACCGGGUGGAUUCGGCGUUUGGGCCCAAUUGUACGCACCAGGGCCGUAAGAUGAUGGAGCCAUUUGGAAAUAUUUGCAUGUUUUUA